UGUCGCUGCUUACACAUGCAGUCGAACGAUGAUGCCCAGCUUGCUGGGCGGAUUAGUGGCGAACGGGUGAGUAAUACGUGAGUAACCUGCCCUUGACUCUGGGAUAAGCCUGGGAAACUGGGUCUAAUACUGGAUACUACCUCUUACCGCAUGGUGGGUGGUGGAAAGGGUUUUACUGGUUUUGGAUGGGCUCACGGCCUAUCAGCUUGUUGGUGGGGUAAUGGCUCACCAAGGCGACGACGGGUAGCCGGCCUGAGAGGGUGACCGGCCACACUGGGACUGAGACACGGCCCAGACUCCUACGGGAGGCAGCAGUGGGGAAUAUUGCACAAUGGGCGGAAGCCUGAUGCAGCGACGCCGCGUGAGGGAUGACGGCCUUCGGGUUGUAAACCUCUUUCAGUAGGGAAGAAGCGAGAGUGACGGUACCUGCAGAAGAAGCGCCGGCUAACUACGUGCCAGCAGCCGCGGUAAUACGUAGGGCGCAAGCGUUGUCCGGAAUUAUUGGGCGUAAAGAGCUCGUAGGCGGUUUGUCGCGUCUGCUGUGAAAGCCCGGGGCUCAACCCCGGGUCUGCAGUGGGUACGGGCAGACUAGAGUGCAGUAGGGGAGACUGGAAUUCCUGGUGUAGCGGUGAAAUGCGCAGAUAUCAGGAGGAACWCCGAUGGCGAAGGCAKGUCUCUGGGCUGUUACUGACGCUGAGGAGCGAAAGCAUGGGGAGCGAACAGGAUUAGAUACCCUGGUAGUCCAUGCCGUAAACGUUGGGCACUAGGUGUGGGGGACAUUCCACGUUUUCCGCGCCGUAGCUAACGCAUUAAGUGCCCCGCCUGGGGAGUACGGCCGCAAGGCUAAAACUCAAAGGAAUUGACGGGGGCCCGCACAAGCGGCGGAGCAUGCGGAUUAAUUCGAUGCAACGCGAAGAACCUUACCAAGGCUUGACAUUCACCGGACCGCCCCAGAGAUGGGGUUUCCCUUCGGGGCUGGUGGACAGGUGGUGCAUGGUUGUCGUCAGCUCGUGUCGUGAGAUGUUGGGUUAAGUCCCGCAACGAGCGCAACCCUCGUUCUAUGUUGCCAGCACGUGAUGGUGGGGACUCAUAGGAGACUGCCGGGGUCAACUCGGAGGAAGGUGGGGAUGACGUCAAAUCAUCAUGCCCCUUAUGUCUUGGGCUUCACGCAUGCUACAAUGGCCGGUACAAAGGGUUGCGAUACUGUGAGGUGGAGCUAAUCCCAAAAAGCCGGUCUCAGUUCGGAUUGAGGUCUGCAACUCGACCUCAUGAAGUCGGAGUCGCUAGUAAUCGCAGAUCAGCAACGCUGCGGUGAAUACGUUCCCGGGCCUUGUACACACCGCCCGUCAAGUCACGAAAGUUGGUAACACCCGAAGCCGGUGGCCUAACCCCUUGUGGGAGGAGCCGUCGAAGUGA
rnacentral:rRNA from 1 species